ensembl:lncRNA
CACAAUCAGAUCAUCAUCUUCAUCUUUAUUUUAUAUUGAAUUGGUUUGGUUGAUCAUUUCUUUAAGGUUAAGACAAAAUGUGUGGCAUUUUGUUUUAUCCUUCACUCACCUUAACGUUAACCUUCACACAUUUUGUCUUAACACACUCAAUCACUCAACUUAGAUUCCCAAUACAGCGGUUAACCCCCCCCCGAGGCUGUCCCAAUACCCUCAUGCUUUUCAAUCUCCCUAACAGCUUUGCGAAUAGUUCAAAUAGUUUUCCGCCAUCUUAUCUUCAAGUCAAAGUCAGCUCUCUGGCCGAGCAGAUUGUCAAGCAGUGGCCGGGGGUACAGGAAAAAGUCCCUGCUCUCUUCCAGGUCCUGCGCCUCUGAAAUGAGGGUGGCCAGGGCUUGCUCUAUGACUGGAGACUCACAGGCCCGAUGCCGUACACCAUGACUCACGUUCCUCAUGGCUUCAAUGACUAACAGACCGUCACUGGCUGUUGGCUGCGCAGCCCCGCCAACACCACUCAACACACUGGCUGCACCUCUUUCAGGGCCCACGUCAUUAUUAUUAUCCAUCUGUUUUGGACCUGUUUGCCCCGUAACCUCAUUGGAUCCUCCGCUAAAAGCUGCCGCUUGGUUCGCUGCGGUGGUUGAGUUAUGCCCGUCGGGGCCGGUCCCGUUGAGGUCAUUCAUUGGGCAGGCCAGGCUGACGUUACCCAUCGUCGCCCCCACGCAGACGGCUACCCCUGCUCCCUCUGUCUCACUCGGUUCCUUCCGGGUCCCGUGGUCGGUGAGGCGCUGGAACGUCGUAGCCGCCGGUGUUCGCUCGCCUGGCUGGGCCGCGUUGGGUUUGUAUGUGCCUGAAGGCGGGGUUUCCCGGAUGUUUCGGCGGAGGUAGGAUGCGUAGUCCUGCACCAGCUGGGCGAAAGCCGUCCUGUAAGAGAGGCGCAGGGACUCGGCCGAGCCAAGAGGCACCGAUUUCAGUCUCACCUAGUGAGGCGAUCAGAGAAAAAGAUAGGGGAACGUUUAGCUAGUGCUAGCUUGUUAGUGGAGCCGAUAUGAAUAUGAUCACAGGCUCAAUGGCUUUCAAUGGUCGAUAAUAAGGAAGUCAACGAUAAGACACGAUGCUGGAAGUCAUGCCCUGUUUAUAUGACAAACCUCCCAUUGAUAAAUCUGAAAGCGAAUACAUUCACACACUUCUACAAGCAAGCCACUGCCUCAUGGCCUCGGAGCCCAUCCUCUUCUUGUUGGUCAUCCUCUCGUAGUGGUCGAUCAGCUCCAGCUUCAGCCAGUUGUCGUAGAGCUCUGUGGUCUCGGCCAUGCCCUCAGGGUCGUUGGCCACGCCGGGGAUCAGACGCAGGUAGCUGUGGAUCAUCCGGCCGAUCCUGGAGGAGCGCCGGAUCCCAAAUAGGCACCCGGUCGCCCCCUGCUGCUUCGGGACCUUGGGAGGAAUGGUACAGGGUUGAAGAUUGAAGUUGGGUUGAACAGAUUAACCAAGAUGCUGAGUUACUGGGCUAGAAUUUGCAUUGGACUGACAAUGAUGCUUCAAGCAACGAAUGGACAAACUGGUAUAACACCUGACCCAUCUGGACCACCGGAGGUUACCAGUGGUAGCUCAAUGACUUCUUCUACCAACGUGUCGUCAAAUACAUCAGCUGCACCUUCAUUAGUGACAACAUCUACAACAUCAUCUCCUCCUUUGACGAUCAGUCCAAACCAAACAAAUGCUUCUACAAAUGGUUCAAAGACAACAGCUGCUCCUUCAUUAGGUA